UUCCCCAUUGGCAAGUCGAACGGAAAGGCCCCUUUGGGGGUACUCGAGUGGCGAACGGGUGAGUAACACGUGAGUAACCUGCCCUUGACUUCGGGAUAACUUCAGGAAACUGGGGCUAAUACCGGAUAGGAAUCCUUGCUGCAUGGUGGGGGUUGGAAAGCUUCGGCGGUUUUGGAUGGACUCGCGGCUUAUCAGCUUGUUGGUGGGGUAGUGGCUUACCAAGGCUUUGACGGGUAGCCGGCCUGAGAGGGCGACCGGCCACAUUGGGACUGAGAUACGGCCCAGACUCCUACGGGAGGCAGCAGUGGGGAAUAUUGCACAAUGGGCGGAAGCCUGAUGCAGCAACGCCGCGUGCGGGAUGACGGCCUUCGGGUUGUAAACCGCUUUCAGCAGGGGCGAAGCUUUUGGAGACCUGCAAAAAAACCCGGCUAACUACUGCCACCCCCGGUGAUACUAGGGGCAACGUUGUCCGAUUUAUUGGGCUAAAAACUCUAGGGGUUGAUUGCUCGAAUGAAAACUUGGGGCUUACCCUACGUGCUUUCCAUACGGUGACUUAGAAGAGGGAAAUGGAAUUCUGGUGGACGUGGAAUGCGCAAUAUCAAGAGAACACCGUGGCGAAAGGGUCUCUGGAACUUUCGACCUGAAGACGAAAGCGUGGGGGACGAACAAGGCUUAAAUACCCCUGGUAGUCCACGCUGUAACGUGGGGUACUAGUGUGGGGUCCAUUCCACAGAAUUCGUGCCGUAGCUAACGCAUAAGUACCCCGCCUGGGGGAGUACAGCCGCAAAGGCUAAACUCAAGGAAUUGACCGGGGCCCCGCCAGCAGCGGAGCCAUGCGAUUAAUUCCAUGCCAACGCGAGAACUUACCUUGGGUUUGACAUGGACUGGGAGUGCUCAGAGAUGGGUAUGCCUCCUUGUGGGGCUGGUUCACAGGUGGUGCAUGGCUGUCGUCAGCUCGUGUCGUGAGAUGUUGGGUUAAGUCCCGCAACGAGCGCAACCCUCGUUCACUGUUGCCAGCACGUUAUGGUGGGGACUCAGUGGAGACCGCCGGGGUCAACUCGGAGGAAGGUGGGGAUGACGUCAAGUCAUCAUGCCCCUUAUGUCCAGGGCUUCACGCAUGCUACAAUGGCCGGUACAAAGAGUUGCGAGCCUGUGAGGGUGAGCGAAUCUCGGAAAGCCGGUCUCAGUUCGGAUUGGGGUCUGCAACUCGACCCCAUGAAGUCGGAGUCGCUAGUAAUCGCAGAUCAGCAACGCUGCGGUGAAUACGUUCCCGGGGCUUGUACACACCGCCCGUCAAGUCAUGAAAGUCGGUAACACCCGAAGCCGGUGGCCUAACCUGUGUGGGGGAGCCGUCGAAGGUGGGACUGGUAAUUAGGACUAAAGUUUUUU
rnacentral:rRNA from 1 species